UGCGGGCCCGCAUGGAGGUAUAGGCUCAGGGGGUGGGACGGAGAGCCCCGCAUCCGGUGGAGGGUCUGGGGAAGGGGCGGCAGGCGCCAUGUCGGGUCGCGGAGGUGGCAAGAAGAAGCCUCUGAAGCAGCCCAAGAAGCAAGCCAAGGAGAUGGACGAGGAAGAUAAGGCAUUCAAGCAGAAACAGAAGGAGGAGCAAAAGAAACUCGAGGAGCUAAAAGCGAAGGCCGCGGGGAAAGGCCCCCUGGCAACAGGCGGAAUUAAGAAAUCUGGCAAAAAGUAAGCUGUUCCUUGUGCCUGAGGCAAUGAUGAUCCUUAGUUCCAUUCCUGUUUAAACAUCUGGAUUCCCUGCCAUAACAUCUGUUGCCACCUAUAGCUAGAAUGAAGUGUUGUCUUGGAACCUAUUGUACAUUUAAGAAUAAACUUUUGUAAAAAAAAAAAAAAAAA